rnacentral:lncRNA from 1 species
AGGGGAUACAUACCUUUCUUGCUCUUUUGAAACUUUUUGAGGAGAAUGAGAUGCUCUAUAUUUUCUUUUUAUUUUCUCUCAAGUGGGUAUCUUGUACCCCUAAUUCUACUGUCGGACACUUGUCCAUUUUUACCUCUCGUCUCACUUUUUCUUUCUUUCGAGGUUCCGGGCACUUGCCCCUUUUUAUUUCCUCGUAUUUCUUUUUUUUAUUAGAGCACUCAUCUCCUGAAAUAAUAUAGCAAGUGGUAGUAACCAAGAUAACUUGAGCAUUUAUUUCACAGGGGAAAAAAGAAAUAGG